rnacentral:rRNA from 1 species
AGUGAACGCUGGCGGUAGGCCUAACACAUGCAAGUCGAACGGCAGCACAGUAAGAGCUUGCUCUUACGGGUGGCGAGUGGCGGACGGGUGAGGAAUACAUCGGAAUCUACUUUUUCGUGGGGGAUAACGUAGGGAAACUUACGCUAAUACCGCAUACGACCUACCGGUGAAAGCAGGGGAUCUUCGGACCUUUCGCGAUUGAAUGAGCCGAUGUCGGAUUAGCUAGUUGGCGGGGUAAAGGCCCACCAAGGCGACGAUCCGUAGCUGGUCUGAGAGGAUGAUCGGCCACACUGGAACUGAGACACGGUCCAGACUCCUACGGGAGGCAGCAGUGGGGAAUAUUGGGCAAUGGGCGAAAGCCUGAUCCAGCCAUACCGCGUGGGUGAAGAAGGCCUUCGGGUUGUAAAGCCCUUUUGUUGGGAAAGAAAAGCAGCAGGUUAAUACGCCGCUGUUCUGACGGUACCCAAAGAAUAAGCACCGGCUAACUUCGUG